rnacentral:rRNA from 1 species
UGGGGAAUUUUGGACAAUGGGCGAAAGCCUGACGCAGCCACGCCGCGUGAGCGAUGAAGGCCUUCGGGUCGUAAAGCCCUGUGGGGAGAGAAGAAGAAAGCCCGUGAAGAGCGGGCCUUGACGGUAUCUCCUUAGCAAGCACCGGCUAACUCCGUGCCAGCAGCCGCGGUAAUACGGAGGGUGCAAACGUUGCUCGGAAUCAUUGGGCGGAAAGCGCACGUAGGCGGCGAAGCAAGUCGGGCGUGAAAGCCCUGGGCUCAACCCAGGAAGUGCAUUCGAAACUAUGACGCUUGAUUCUCGGAGGGGGUGAGAGAAUUCCCGGUGUAAAGGUGAAAUUCGUAGCUAUCGAGAGGAAUACCAGUGACAAGGGGGCUGACCUGAACGAAGAUUGACGCUUAGGUACAAAAGCGCGGGGAGCAAACA